CAGCCGCCGCGGGAAUACGAAGGGUGCAAGCGUUAAUCGGAAUUACUGGGCGUAAAGCGUGCGUAGGCGGUGAGUUAAGUCUGCUGUGAAAUCCCCGGGCUCAACCUGGGAAUGGCAGUGGAUACUGGCUCGCUAGAGUGUGUCAGAGGAUGGUGGAAUUCCCGGUGUAGCGGUGAAAUGCGUAGAGAUCGGGAGGAACAUCAGUGGCGAAUGCGGCCAUCUGGGACAACACUGACGCUGAGGCACGAAAGCGUGGGGAGCCAACAGGAUUAGAGACCCCUGUAGUCCCUGUCUCUUAUAC
rnacentral:rRNA from 1 species